AUUGAACGCUGGCGGCAGGCUUAACACAUGCAAGUCGAGCGAGCGGCGGACGGGUGAGUAAUGUCUGGGAAACUGCCUGAUGGAGGGGGAUAACUACUGGAAACGGUAGCUAAUACCGCAUACCAUCGGAUGUGCCCAGAUGGGAUUAGCUAGUAGGUGGGGUAAAGGCUCACCUAGGCGAGGAUCCCUAGCUGGUCUGAGAGGAGGACCAGCAACACGGGAACGGAGAAACGGUCAGGACCCCUACGGGAGGCAGAAGUGGGGAAUAUUGCACAAUGGGGGCAAGCCUAAUGCGGCACUGCGGCGUGUAGGAAGAAGGCCUUCGGUUUGUAAAGUACGUUAAGCGGGGAGGCGUAACCCGCAGAAGAAGCACCGGCUAACUCCGUGCCAGCAGCCGCGGUAAUAC
rnacentral:rRNA from 1 species